GCCUCGGUGGUCUAAUGACUCAGGACGCUCGUACGGAAUACAAGAGAUUCGGGUUCGACUCCUGGCCGAGGUA
rnacentral:tRNA from 1 species